UACUGACCUAAAUUUCUUUUGUCUGCAGUCAGUGAACAGCCAGGCAGGCCUGGUAGUCAUGGCUUUGUGCGCUCACCAUCCCCUUCAGUCAGAGCCCAGGAAAGCAUUAUGCAGCAAAGGCCAAGUAUUUUCCAGAGAACUAAUGGAAAAAGUGUUAUCACACCUUGGAUGCUGCUCAGCUUCGGAUCAUGCCUCCCACACCAGGAGCAGCCUCUAUUACACAGGGGAUACCUGCCUCCCGUUACAGCACAGCCGCAGAUGCAUUGGCCGCACUUGUUGACGCAGCAGCUUCUGCUCCCCAAAUGGAAGUUGUAAAGCCAAAGGAAAUGAACCACGACCCUGCACGUUCUGAAGAAAGUCUAAGCAGGCGUAAUGCACUGGAGCAGCAGCAGCAACAGAUAGAUUGUGAAAGGAGGGUGAUGCAGAGCCCUUGCACAUCCUCCAGCUUCUCUGGCAGCAAGUCACAGGGUCAGUAAUCCCCUGCUGUCUAUUCAGAAGCAGGCAAGGAGAAAACAGCGCACACAAAGUCACGCUAUGUGGAGGAGCUAAGAAUGCGAGGGAAGACCACUAUCACCGCAGCAAAUUUCAUCCAUGUUAUAAUUACUCAGCAGAUUGCUUCUGACAAAGAUGGCAGAGACAGAAAUUCACAAAGCUCAGACUCUUCAAGCAGCCAAUCAACACAUUGCUAUGAUGCUCCCAGAGACACUAUAGAAGUGAUCAGUCCAGCAAAUUCACCAGUUCAGGAAAAGGAGUCCUACCCACAAGAGAUACCCAAAUCAAGCCAAACAGAGACAGGUAAAAGCAGUCGGAAAUAUGAGGGGCAGCCCAAUCGCUACCGGCAGUAGCAGGAAUCUCCUUCUCCACAACCCACAACAACAGA